rnacentral:rRNA from 1 species
UUUGUGGAGAGUUUGAUCCUGGCUCAGGAUGAACGCUGGCGGCGUGCUUAACACAUGCAAGUCGAACGGAAAGGCCCAAGCUUGCUUGGGUACUCGAGUGGCGAA